rnacentral:rRNA from 1 species
GACGAACGCUGGCGGCGUGCUUAACACAUGCAAGUCGAACGGAAAGGCCCUGCUUUUGUGGGGUGCUCGAGUGGCGAACGGGUGCGUAACACGUGUGUAACCUGCCCUUGACUUUGGGAUAACUUCAGGAAACUGGGGCUAAUACCGGAUAGGAGCUCCUGCUGCAUGGUGGGGGUUGGAACGUUUCGGCGGUUGGGGAUGGACUCGCGGCUUAUCAGCUUGUUGGUGGGGUAGUGGCUUACCAAGGCUUUGACGGGUAGCCGGCCUGAGAGGGUGACCGGCGACAUUGGGACUGAGAUACGGCCCAGACUCCUACGGGAGGCAGCAGGGGGGAAUAUUGCACAAUGGGCGGAAGCCUGAUGCAGCAACGCCGCGUGCGGGAUGACGUCCUUCGGGUUGUAAACCGCUUUCGCCUGUGACGAAGCGUGAGUGACGGUAAUGGGUAAAGAAGCACCGGCUAACUACGUG